rnacentral:rRNA from 1 species
UACGUAGGUGGCAAGCGUUGUCCGGAAUUAUUGGGCGUAAAGCGCGCGCAGGCGGUCCUUUAAGUCUGAUGUGAAAGCCCACGGCUCAACCGUGGAGGGUCAUUGGAAACUGGGGGACUUGAGUACAGAAGAGGAAAGCGGAAUUCCACGUGUAGCGGUGAAAUGCGUAGAGAUGUGGAGGAACACCAGUGGCGAAGGCGGCUCACUGGACCGGAACUGACGCUGAGGCGCGAAAGCGUGGGGAGCAAACAGG